GGAUGGAUGUCUGAGCGGUUGAAAGAGUCGGUCUUGAAAACCGAAGUAUUUAUAGAAAUAUCGGGGGUUCGAAUCCCUCUCCAUCCG
rfam:Nicotiana sylvestris Nsyl_contig127386, whole genome shotgun sequence.